UAUCUUUCACUUGAAGAAUGA
rnacentral:piRNA from 1 species